rnacentral:piRNA from 1 species
UGCAUGAACUGGUUUCCUGGGGUUGCUGUC